GCGAACCGUGGGAGUGACGAUGCGCGGUCUCAUCACGUCCGGGGAAAUCGGUGUCCUCUCUCUACGCCCGAGGGCACUCACACCCCCGCGGCCUCCUCGCUUCCCCUUUCGGCCUUGGCCGCGGGAGCGUCUUUACAGCUCCCAGAAAAAGGAAGGAAGCUGCGUGAUCCCCACCGCCAAGCCCCUCCGCUGGCGUCCCAGGCUCCGCGGGGAAACUGAGGCAGCUAGCUUGGAUCUUGACGAGGGAGGAGAGGGGGGCGCUCGAAACCCCUGCCUGUCGCUGGGAAACUGAGGCAGCAGCCCCCAGGCGCCGAGGCGAGGCAGGGAGAAGAGGCGCUCGAACCCCUUGCUGCAGCUGGGAAGCUAAGGCAGCCCCCAGGCUCCGAGUCAAAUCUGCUGCUUCAAGGAUGAAAGUCUAUGUCCGCUAAGGGUGUUUGGAGAAUGUGUUGCAACCUCUGAAGGCGAUCCCAAGAGAGCCAUUCCAGAGAUGUUUUCAGCCAGGGGUGGCCCAGCAGGAAAUCACUCUGAAAACUCAGGUUUACACAUGACAUCUACUUGUAUAAUCAAGCACACACUCUCAGGCUGCAUGAAGUACUGUUGCAGACAGGACUGCAAACACUCUCAGGGGUGGGAAUGGCUGGCAGCAGUGCUCAGGAGAAGGAUGUGGCGGGAGUCAGCUCCUAGGCAGUGCCGGCGCCCACGCACCUGUGAGCUCCGGGAGUCUCACUCACUGGGUAAGUGAAUUCUUGUAAUUUCCACAAACAGCCCUGGGGUUCCCUUAAACCAGAUUGCGAGCCUCUUGAGAUGGCGGAUCCUCAGCGGUGCCCAGAACCCGGGAAGGAGCCCAAUGUGCCCAAUGCAGUUAUUAAAAAUGACACUGAGAAGU